UGAUGUAGGGGAGACUGGAAUUCCUGGUGUAGCGGUGAAAUGCGCAGAUAUCAGGAGGAACACCGAUGGCGAAGGCAGGUCUCUGGGCAUUAACUGACGCUGAGGAGCGAAAGCAUGGGGAGCGAACAGGAUUAGAUACCCUGGUAGUCCAUGCCGUAAACGUUGGGCACUAGGUGUGGGGGACAUUCCACGUUUUCCGCGCCGUAGCUAACGCAUUAAGUGCCCCGCCUGGGGAGUACGGCCGCAAGGCUAAAACUCAAAGGAAUUGACGGGGGCCCGCACAAGCGGCGGAGCAUGCGGAUUAAUUCGAUGCAACGCGAAGAACCUUACCAAGGCUUGACAUGGACUGGAAAUACCUGGAAACAGGUGCCCCGCUUGCGGUCGGUUCACAGGUGGUGCAUGGUUGUCGUCAGCUCGUGUCGUGAGAUGUUGGGUUAAGUCCCGCAACGAGCGCAACCCUCGUUCUAUGUUGCCAGCGCGUGAUGGCGGGGACUCAUAGGAGACUGCCGGGGUCAACUCGGAGGAAGGUGGGGACGACGUCAAAUCAUCAUGCCCCUUAUGUCUUGGGCUUCACGCAUGCUACAAUGGCCGGUACAAAGGGUUGCGAUACUGUGAGGUGGAGCUAAUCCCAAAAAGCCGGUCUCAGUUCGGAUUGGGGUCUGCAACUCGACCCCAUGAAGUCGGAGUCGCUAGUAAUCGCAGAUCAGCAACGCUGCGGUGAAUACGUUCCCGGGCCUUGUACACACCGCCCGUCAAGUCACGAAAGUUGGUAACACCCGAAGCCGGUGGCCUAACCCCUU
rnacentral:rRNA from 1 species